CCUACGGGUGGCAGCAGUGGGGAAUAUUGCACAAUGGGGGAAACCCUGAUGCAGCGAAGCCGCGUGAGUGAAGAAUUAAUUCGUUAUUUAAAGCUCUAUCAGCAGGGGAGUAAAUGACGGUACCUGAGUAAUAAGCCCCGUCUAAUUACGAGCAGGCAGCCGCGGUAAUACGUAGGGGGCCAGCGUUAUCCGGAUUUACUGGGUGUAAAGGGAGCGUAGAGGGAAGUGCAAGUCCGGAGUGAAAGGCGGGGGCUCAACCCCCAGAUUGCACUGGAAACUGUACGGCUUGAGUGCAGGAGAGGUAAGUGGAAUUCCUAGUGUAGCGGUGAAAUGCGUAGAUAUUAGGAGGAACACCAGUGGCGAAGGCGGCUUACUGGACUGUAACUGACGUUGAGGCUCGAAAGCGUGGGGAGCAAACAGGAUUAGAUACCCCUGUAGUC
rnacentral:rRNA from 1 species